UACGUAGGGUGCGAGCGUUAAUCGGAAUUACUGGGCGUAAAGCGUGCGCAGGCGGUUCGUUGUGUCGGCGGUGAAAGCCCCGGGCUUAACCUGGGAAUGGCCGUCGAAACUGGCGAACUGGAGUGUGGCAGAGGGGGGUGGAAUUCCGCGUGUAGCAGUGAGAUGCGUAGAGAUGCGGAGGAACACCGAUGGCGAAGGCAGCCCCCUGGGCUGACACUGACGCUCAGGCACGAAAGCUAGGGGAGCAAACAGG
rnacentral:rRNA from 1 species